rnacentral:piRNA from 1 species
UACUGGAGCUCCAUGACGAAACACUGC